rnacentral:rRNA from 1 species
UACGAAGGGGGCUAGCGUUGCUCGGAAUCACUGGGCGUAAAGGGUGCGUAGGCGGGUUCUUAAGUCAGAGGUGAAAUCCUGGAGCUCAACUCCAGAACUGCCUUUGAUACUGAGAGUCUUGAGUUCGGGAGAGGUGAGUGGAAUUGCGAGUGUAGAGGUGAAAUUCGUAGAUAUUCGCAAGAACACCAGUGGCGAAGGCGGCUCACUGGCCCGAUACUGACGCUGAUGCACGAAAGCGUGGGGAGCAAACAGG